UGGGGAAUAUUGCACAAUGGAGGGAACUCUGAUGCAGCGACGCCGCGUGAACGAAGAAGGCUUUCGAGUCGUAAAGUUCUUUUAUAUGGGAAGAUAAUGACGGUACCAUAAGAAAAAGCCCCGGCUAACUACGUGCCAGCAGCCGCGGUAAUACGUAGGGGGCUAGCGUUGUCCGGAAUCACUGGGCGUAAAGGGUUCGCAGGCGGAAAUGCAAGUCAGGUGUAAAAGGCAGUAGCUUAACUACUGUAAGCAUUUGAAACUGCAUAUCUUGAGAAGAGUAGAGGUAAGUGGAAUUUUUAGUGUAGCGGUGAAAUGCGUAGAUAUUAAAAAGAAUACCGGUGGCGAAGGCGGCUUACUGGGCUCAUUCUGACGCUGAGGAACGAAAGCGUGGGUAGCAAACAGG
rnacentral:rRNA from 2 species